rnacentral:piRNA from 1 species
UAUAACGGUCCUUUGACAUGGUUCAGGUGA